UACAGAGGUCUCAAGCGUUGUUCGGAUUCAUUGGGCGUAAAGGGUGCGUAGGUGGCAUGGUAAGUCGGAUGUGAAAUCCCGGGGCUUAACCCCGGGUCGGCAGUGGAUACGGGCAGGCUAGAGGUAGGUAGGGGAGAAUGGAAUUCCCGGUGUAGCGGUGAAAUGCGCAGAUAUCGGGAGGAACACCGGUGGCGAAGGCGGUUCUCUGGGCCUUACCUGACGCUGAGGAGCGGAAAGCGUGGGGAGCGAACAGG
rnacentral:rRNA from 1 species